CACAUGGCAAGUCGGACGGAGAAAGCCGNAAAGCUUGCUUUUGGCGAGUAAAGUGNGNGCACGGGGUGAGCUAACGCGUGGGUAAUCUACCUCCGAAUUUGGGAUAACACUUCGAAAGGGGUGCUAAUACUGGAUGACAUCCAUUGGGCUUUGGCUUGAUGGAUCAAAGAUAGCCGCUUCAUGAAAGCUAUUGUUUGGAGAUGAGCCCGCGUCCCAUUAGCUGGUUGGUAGGGUAACGGCCUACCAAGGCGACGAUGGGUAGCUGGUCUGAGAGGAUGAUCAGCCACACUGGAACUGGAACACGGUCCAGACUCCUACGGGAGGCAGCAGUGAGGAAUUUUGCGCAAUGGGGGCAACCCUGACGCAGCAAUGCCGCGUGAGUGAUGAAGGCCUUCGGGUCGUAAAGCUCUGUCAAGUGGGAAGAACCUGUUUAUUGUUAAUAGCGAUAGACACUGACGGUACCACUGAAGGAAGCACCGGCUAACUCCGUGCCAGCAGCCGCGGUAAUACGGAGGGUGCAAGCGUUAUUCGGAUUUACUGGGCGUAAAGGGCGCGUAGGCGGUUGGACAAGUCAGGUGUGAAAUCCCGGGGCUUAACUCCGGAAGUGCAUCUGAAACUGUUCGGCUUGAGUAUGGUAGAGGGAAGUGGAAUUCCUGGUGUAGCGGUGAAAUGCGUAGAUAUCAGGAGGAACACCGGUGGCGAAGGCGACUUCCUGGACCAAAACUGACGC
rnacentral:rRNA from 1 species